CGUACGCUGGCGGCACGCCUAACACAUGCAAGUCGAACGCAGUAGCAAUACUGAGUGGCAGACGGGUGAGUAACAUGUGGGAAUCUGCCUUGUGGUUCAGGACAACAUUGGGAAACCGAUGCUAAUACUGGAUAAGCCCUUACGGGGAAAGUUUUAAUGCCAUAAGAUGAGCCCGCACUUGAUUAGUUAGUUGGUGAGGUAAUGGCUCACCAAGACAAUGAUCAAUAGCUGAUCUGAGAGGAUGAUCAGCCACACUGGGACUGAGACACGGCCCAGACUCCUACGGGAGGCAGCAGUGAGGAAUAUUGCGCAAUGGGCGAAAGCCUGACGCAGCCAUGCCGCGUGUGUGAAGAAGGCCUUCGGUUGUAAAACCCUGUCGUUAGGGACGAAGGCAUGAAUCCUAAU
rnacentral:rRNA from 1 species